GCAAACUCUUCAUUUCUUGAACAAAACUUGAAAUUAAUAGACAAAAUAUUAACUUUAAAACCAGAUUCUGCUUAGCAUUAAGAUUCAUUUACAUUGGUGACUCAAUGUUAUAAGCUAGAUUGAGGCUGAUGGUUGAAAAGACAAAGCGUCAAGAGACAAGCCACGAAGAUGUCAACUACUGUGAACAUUUCUGCUCUCUCACAAGCCAACAAAAUCAUCAAAGGCAAUCAUAAAAAGAAAUUAACCGUCACGACCCAGGCCCGCGUGAACUACUGAGCUAACAAGUAAGGCAGGACUGGGCCUAACCACAUGACCCAAAAAUCAAUUCCUAGGUGUAAGAGUUAGUUCAUUAAGGCUCUCAUGCCCAUAUCAAAUCGGGAAGCCCUUAAGUAUUGAAAUCAUUGACAUGCUUGUCGAGGCCAAUAUAUAGCCUAAUAGCCUAGAAACUGGGCCUGCCAUGCAUGUCACAGAUUUCUCUCACUGACUUAGACGAGUUAUUACUAAUUCAGAGGUCAUAAAUAAAAAAUGAUAAAUGACCACUUAACAAUUCAUAGAUCAUUCAACCAAUGACAAGCCUAGAAGAAUUCCACUUAAUAAAAUGCUCACGGAGGAAACCAAUUUUUUUUUUGAAAAAUUUACAAUUUAACCUCUACAUUUU
rnacentral:misc_RNA from 1 species